GAGUUUGAUCGUGGCUCAGAUUGAACGCUGGCGGCAUGCCUUACACAUGCAAGUCGAACGACGCUAGGGGCAACUCUAGCGAGUGGCGAACGGGUGAGUAAUACAUCGGAACGUGUCCUGUCGUGGGGGAGUAACCAGUCGAAAGACUGGCUAAUACCGCAUGGCCUCGCAAGAGAAAAGACGGAGGACCGCAAGGCUUCGCGCGAUUGGAGCGGCCGAUGUCGGAUUAGCUAGUUGGCGGGGUAAGUGGCCCACCAAGGCGACGAUCCGUAGCUGGUUUGAGAGAACGACCAGCCACACUGGGACUGAGACACGGCCCAGACUCCUACGGGAGGCAGCAGUGGGGAAUUUUGGACAAUGGGGGCAACCCUGAUCCAGCCAUGCCGCGUGUGUGAAGAAGGCCUUCGGUUG
rnacentral:rRNA from 1 species